rnacentral:ncRNA from 1 species
ACCGAUAAAGGCAAACCCUGAGCGAUCAGGGGGCGCAAAGUAAAGGGUCUUAGUCCUACAGGGACGCAAGGGCAAGAAAAGACAGCCUUACUGCCGAAG